rnacentral:rRNA from 1 species
CAAUAGCGUAUAUUAAAGUUGUUGCAGUUAAAAGCUCGUAGUUGGAUUUCUGGCAGGAGUGACCGGUCAUGCACUAUGUGCGUGAACUUGUGUUGUCUCUGGCCAUCCUUGGGGAGAUCCUGUUUGGCAUUAAGUUGUCGGGCAGGGGAUACCCAUCGUUUACUGUGAAAAAUUAGAGUGUUUAAAGCAGGCUUAUGCCGUUGAAUAUAUUAGCAUGGAAUAAUAAGAUAGGACUUCGGAACUAUUUUGUUGGUUUGCGUUACGAAGUAAUGAUUAAUAGGGACAGUUGGGGGUAUUCGUAUUUCAUUGUCAGAGGUGAAAUUCUUGGAUUUAUGAAAGACGAACUUCUGCGAAAGCAUUUGCCAAGGAUGUUUUCAUUAAUCAAGAACGAAAGUUGGGGGCUCGAAGACGAUUAGAUACCGU